UGUGGGCGUUUCUUUACAGGAAUAUGAUGAUGGAUACGGCACUUCGUAUGAUGAACAGAGCUACGAUUCCUAUGAUAACAGCUAUAGCACUUCGGCACAAAGUGGCGAUUACUAUGACUAUGCCCAUGGCUUGAACGACGAGACGUACGAUUCUUAUAGACAGGAAGACUGGACCAACUCAAGACACAAGGCUCCUUCGUCAAGAUCAACAAAAGGAAGCUACAGAGAGCAGCCCUAUGCAAGAUACUGAUUAUUCUGUCCGAUGUUGUGAAUUGCCCAAUCUCCACCAGUCCUGUAAACUGUUCAAAGUAAUUUUUUUCUAUGAACAAUCCCUUUUUAUUAAAAUCAAAGUGCUUAAUCUGAAUGGACGGACUGAGCUUAAUCUAUUUUUUGCUGACUGAA